GAAUCUGUUGGGAAGCACGCUGCAGUCUCCCUGCUCGAUUGGUACUACCUAGAUGACGAGCUCAUCAUCGUCAUGGAGAGACCAGAUUCCAGCAUGAAUAUGACGAUGAUACCCUAACACAUGGAGCUUUUGAUGAACAAAAGACAAAAAUCCUCAUGGCUCAGUGUGGGUGGAAGCAGCAAUAGAAAUCCAAAACAGAGGUGGGCUUCACAAUGACAUCAAAAGGCUAACAUCCUAGUAGAAUGUGGCUACAGCAUACCCCGUCUCCGAAUCAUUGACUUCGGUUGUGGCAGCUUCAUUCAGAAGAAGUGGAUCCGUUCCUACAAUGGGCCCAAAGCUUUAGCCCCUCCUGAGUGGAUCACUCACAAAAAGUACAGAGCUGAGCCCACCACAGUGUGGCAGCUGGGGGCGCUGAUGUACCGCAUGCUGCAUGAUCGUUUAUCCGACACCUUGAGCUACAUCACGGGGCAGCUCAGUAUUAACGACAAACUCU